AAAACCUACCCUUUGCGCCAUCAGUCUGCGCUCCCACACUGUUGGAUGUGCCGUCUCUGUAAUAUCCCCCAGUCCGCUUUAGUUCUGAUACUCAACGAGAUCCCUUUUUUUUCCAAUCCAGUUUCCGACUUCUGCUUUAUCCUCCACUAUCGCAGUUUAAAGCGGCCCAAGGAAGGAGGGGAACUUUGCCUUUUUUUUCUCUCUCUCUCUCUCUCCCGCUCUCUCUCUCUCUCUCCCUCUUUUUCUUUCCAGAAGAAGCAAAAAAAAAUGUCAAGCCAGAGAGAAAAAAAUAAUUACUGAAGGUUACGAUCGGCCCGUCAACAGCCCGCUUGUAACAAAACUGUCGUCUCUCAUGGCUUUUUGCCACUCCAGCUGUCAAUCAAAGCAGGGUUGUCAAGGUAUUGAAUGAAUGAUGAUCUGCCGUUGCAACAACUCCGCUGUCUUGGACCGCUAUCUCACUGUAAAAAAACAGCGAUGAAAAACGUUCACGAGGAGUUAACAGCACACAAAAAAAUAAGAGCGAGAAAGUGGGUGGAAAGCAGCUUCGGCUUCUUUCGUAGCUUUUUUUUUGUUGUUUGUUUGAAUAAGUGGCUGUCAGUAAGUAUUGAGGAGGUGGCAGGUUGGGAGGUUGGUUGGUUACAGAGUGAGUGUGUUGUCAGUAAUAAUGCGCUGGCAGCGCUGAGCGGCGGCGGCGGGAGAAUGACGGAACCCGGAAGUAGUGGUGGUCAUAGCCAGUCGUACGCCAAGCUGUCUCUCAUAUGCAGACUAUGCAAUCGGACCGCUGCAAGUCAUGGGGGGGGGGGGGGAGCCAGAACCGAAAUAAAAGCCCCACUGAGAACCCCCUCCCCUUCCCCCAAGUCAGAUUGUAAAACAUCUCUAAAUCAAUCAGCAUUGUCUUAGCGAGAUUCAUUAUUCCCAUGUAUGUACAAUUUUUUUUUCUGUUUUGUGUGUGUGACAACUGCUUUUAGAAAAAGUUGUUCACAUGUUAGGAUAUUUCAGAACUUCCCACAAAGUAAGGGCUAGAGCCCUUGCUUCAAAUCAAGCCCUUUGCAAUUCUCAGAAACUAUGACUUAAAAUAGUGGAAGUGUCCGACUUGCUGUACCUUAACAAAUACAUAAUAUGUGAAACUCGUUAACUGGUCACAUUCACGACUGACCGAUGUGUGUCUUGCAGAGGAUUGCUUCGGGAAGGCAACACCGGUUUUAUUUGAGUAAGUGACUCCCAAGUUCAACAGGCUUCGAAUUAUUUCCCCCUUCAGUCAUCCAUGUCCUCCGCUGUACUUUUGUUUUCCUAGCAUUGUUGUGGUUUGCAGGGUAACGCGGAGAUAUUUGUCGCGGUGACUCCAGAUAAUGGUGUUCCUAAUUGCAGUGUUAUUUAGAAAAUUAAGUGUGGUCCCUCACCCCCUUGAGCACAAAUGAACUUUUCCAACGAAAAAAAAGCUUUGCAGGGAAAGUAAUUUUGUGCAUCUCGUCCAAUCCUUUCGCUGGAUCCAAAUUCAUGCACCCAGCCGUACAUCAUGGCAGUCAAUUAUCAUAGCUUCAUCUGAUCAUCAAUCACAGGGGAUGCUAGAAGUUAAGGGGCGGAGCAAUGGUCGACCCAUCGAUUGCAGUAGUUUUGUCUUUCCCCCCCUUCUCGUUCACGGCCCCCUACGCACAAAGGCCGAAACGGUCUAUUCCGUUUAAUGUUUGGGUUCAUCAAUAGACAUGCAGGCUUUUGUGCGUGUGACAUCACAUAUCGAUGGUUUCACAGGGGGGUGGGGGGGGGGGGAAAUUGGCAAAAUACAUUGUCUACGGGAUAUUUGAUUUCCAAAAUUAAACAUGAAUCACGACUUUGUCAAAGCAAGCAGAAUCUGUACACUUUUUUUCGCGGACACGGGGAUGCAGUAAUGCAACUUCAAGAGGUCAAUAAAGCAAAAAGAAAAGAGAACGAUUAAGAGGAUGAUGUUGAUAGUAAUACCCACUGCAAUUAAACAGUUUGAUUAAACGAGGCAUCAUAACAACAAUGAUGUUUGGGAAAACACCCCUCACAUAAAAAAUAACAUAGUGCAGCGGUUGACAAACGCCAGUAGGCAUUCCAACAUGACGCUGCCUCUGAGUAUACCAAGGACUGUUGACAAUGUAGGACAGCAGCGAAAAUUCGCUCUCAAAAUACUUUUUACGCAUUGUUUCCCCCUUUAAAAAAUGAGAAAGACGUACAGCUUCUGAAGAUCCAGCUGCCUUCCGAGACGGUCUUCUAAUAAGUAUUCUUCUGCUCUACUGUACUGCGACUUGUCCUGCAGCACUGUAAGUACAGCCGCGUCCUGCCAUUCAAGUAAGUGUGCUUCACUAAUAGGCAUUUAUUGCCAAACAGUACACAAACGGCAACGUUGCCAUGGUUUUGCCUAACCGACCAGCCCCACAUUAAUGAUUGCCGUGUUUUAAUGUAACAAGUCAACAAGACAACAGAAGAAAGGUGGGUAGAAAUUGCAGCGUUUUCGCAAUGCGUGAACCAGGCGAGUUUGAAAACCGAGCCGGCCACGAAUUCUCACCUCGUCGGUAACGGCAAGGAAUGUCUCUCUGAUCGCAGCCCGGCGUUGGAACAAGGCGCUUUGUAAAAUCGUGAAAGCUUUCUAGAGCACUAAAGCGGCGAGCUGGUAGCAGCGAUGAGCGGGGACUUUCUCAAGUGAUAAAUAAAAGUAAAUGUUGUGUGACAGUCAUCGGUGACUAUUGAAAAUGCAUUUGUUCCGACUCAUUUUUUGUCAAUGGGUUUGACUGCGGUAUUGUGCCAUUUCCAUGAUCUGGUAAAGUGUAUGGAUGUCGGGAUAUGUUGCACCCCAUAGGAUUGCGCCGAUUAAAUAUUCUAGCCAUAUGCAUAGGUAUUUUCCUUCUAACAUGCCCGGCAUGUUCUGUUGGUAAGCCCCGAAUAAUAAGGGACAUGUGUUCUAUUUGUCGAAUUGAUGACAUUUUAUUUUAUAACAUAAAGCAAAGUACACAUUCGGAUUUCGUGUGAGUCCAAAAGUUUGAAAAUGAUCUUCUACGUUACUCGUCAAUAUUUAAUAAAAGCACAAAUGACUUGCAAAUCGCCAUUGACCCUGGACGGCGGUAAGUAAAACACGGUAAUAAAUAGUGGCUACCUUGUAUUUUAUCGAUAGAAAAACCUAUUUUAUUAUAAUAAAGUUUUGUUUUUGUACAAUACGAAAGUACUUCAACGUAAAACACUCUUGUGUUUAACAGUUGACUGCAAAACAGUAGAAUUCCAAAUGCAGAUAAUGAGAGUCUGGACAGCAUUUCUGUACCGUUCUUUUAUUUAUUUACUGAGUUACCAACUUUGUUCCUGAAUAUUCAUAUUUACAUAACAUACGCAUAUGAUAUGUAAGUGCUAUUCUCCCUAAACAAAUCUUGUUCGAUUUCGGUUUUAGAGAACGGUUGCUUUGCUUCACUUAAUAUGUUAUGUAUAUGCUUUUUUCCAAGUUCACAGAUUUCUGUUAUCAAUACGAGAUAUCCCGACCUUCUCAGAAUCGAAUCCCGAAAUGCAGCCUUUUAUAUAACAUUUCAGUAGGGAUUCGAGUAGCUGCCGUUCAAAUAAUGCAAAUCGGUGUCCGGUUAUGGAGUGCAUCUCCAUCAACAAACAGAUAGCAGGGGAUAGCCGAAGAUUGCUUUAACAGCCGGUAAAAUUUCAUCUUCUGGUGUCAAAUUGGGGUCAACCUGGGGUUAGAGCUAUCACUGCUCAGUCAGAGUAGUCCAGCUGUGUUGAGAUUCAUUAAGAGUUCAGUAUCUAUUUCAAGAAAAAACAGCACUAAGACAAUCAGAGGGCGAAGGAGCCAGUUGUUGUUGGAACUGCAAGUGUACCGACCAAAAUGGUAUCAGUUCAUUAUGGAACGCUGGGAAGUACAAUAUCUGAUACAAAGUCAUAACAAGGAAGGAGACAAGAAAGGAAGGCGAUAAAUAUUGGAGACUUGCAGUUACUUUCGCGACCUCGUUAAAAAGAGACGUAUUUGAAUGUCCUCCGCGUUGACCACAGUUAACGCUCGUUUUGAUUUGAUUUUGAUUGUACUUCAGUCCAAGUUUAUGUGUGUGUUGUUUCGGAGCGUGCGUUUUCUUGCCCCCUGGAUUGUGAAAGAUGUAUUCAAUUCAUCGCUGCAAAAGUUUGAAGUCUCUGCUUGUUCGGGAAAUGAGGUAAAAGCAGAGUUGAAUCAGUUUGCAGCGUAUUUCACCAGCUUUCCAAGAAUUCUAUAUUCUAAACGGGCUCUGUAUUGGUUUUACAGGUUGUUUGUUUGUUUUAGAGAUCGUGAUUUCAAAACCCACCGCCACUCCCCCCAACACACCCCCCCUUCCCAAAACACCCUCCCCCGACAACAAAAAGAUAGGAAGGAAGAUCGAGGGCGAUUAUUGGUGAACUUUGUCUGACCCCAGUGUAAAUCCAGGCUGAAGGAAGAUCUCCCCACUGAGUGGGUCAUCCGUUACCUGUAAACCGUCAUAUAUUAAACGCACCAGGUUUUUCUUUCAUAGCUUCCCUCAAACUCGCCACUACCCAGAGAGAAAACAGGCGACGUGAACUUUCGGCAGAUGUUCUGCCGUGGUCGGCGAGAAGUUCAUUGCAAGGCACGUUCUUAUAGACAGCCCUUUAGCGCUAUCUGGCGGGACUGGCUAUAGCAGUCCGAUAGCUGAUACAAGUAUUCCACACCCCUCAAUCCACACCCACCCCCCCCCAAAAAAACCUUGCAGCCGCGCGAAGUUCAGUUGCCCAGCGCGACCGGGUCAGUGAUGUGGUUUUAAAUGAACAGAUUAAAUUGUACCAAUCGAACCUAUUUGAAACAAAGCUCGAUUUGAUAACGCCACGUCCAACACGCUAGUGAUCUCAUUUCGUUUUCAUUAUCGAAGGAGUGAACUUUUCAACAGCCGCGCUGCCUGGAAAGGCGAAAUGCGUUUGUUUUGCAAUUGCUGUCCGUUCACUUGAUGGCCGCACAGUUUCGAUGUUGUUUUGCCCCUAACGUUUCGAAAGUAUUACCUUUUGUUUUGGGAUCUAACGGCGAUUAUUGUUAAAUUGUCACAACUGAGUGCCGACGUUUCUUUCCUUUUUAGGUGUAUUUUUUUCUCUCUCUCUCUAGAAUAUAUAUCAGUUGAAUGAUUGUUAUUUUGACCGCACUCCGGCCCGAUUGCACGGGAGGGGGAUCAUUACACAGGGCUGGGAAUGUGGAGGUCGCCAACGAGAACUUCUUAAUCGCCAGCGCUGUUGUGGGAAUGAUAAUACCAUAACACGUCGCCCACACAAGGCAUCUCCCGCACGCGAAUUACACAUGAAGGCAUUUUAGAAAAUUAUUACCUACUCCGGGAUGCGUGCUAAUUUAGAAAUCAGCUUUUCUUCGCCAUAUUUAGCUCGAUUUCCCCCCUUCAUUUGGAACGGCGUUUACAAGCGCUUAUUCAGUAAUAUUUCAAGUAGUGUUCCGUAAGAUAACUUAUUCCAUUUACCCUUCUCAGAAAAAGAUGCAUUUUAUUUUUUCUUAGCAAUGCACGUUUCAGAACAUUAAAUGUAUAACGACAAAACAAGAAAAAUCAAAACAAGCUGAUUUAGGUAGUUAUUUUAGAUGUUAAUAGUCCAUGCUCCUCUGCUUCUUAAAUACAAACUGGUCAUGUUUAUAAGUAGUGGAAUCAUUUAAUGAGUGUCAUUAAAGCGUGCUUCCAUUGCAAUUAUCCCUGGAUUAGAUCCACCAAACCAGGUUAAUUUGAAAAAAAAAGCAAUUAGCGGGUGCAGUAACAAAGCAACGGGCAAAUCUUUAUAGACUUUUUUGAAACAGCAUUGCGAUAAAUUGCACCCGUUCGAUGUCUUAUGUACAUAACCCUUUUAAUCGCCAGCAAAAAGGAGCGUUAAUUUUCUUUUAUACAAUGCUGACGCCAAGACAGUACGACAGCUGUUUUGUAAUGUUCCCCCCUCUCUGUGUGUGUAUGCGUAUUCUGAUCUCCAACAAAGCAAUGUUGAGCGAUUUUGUUCUGGAUCGUUUGACGUAAUUAAAUGUAACUUUUCCUUA